GAUGAACGCUGGCGGCGUGCCUAAUACAUGCAAGUCGAGCGAACAGACGAGGAGCUUGCUCCUCUGACGUUAGCGGCGGACGGGUGAGUAACACGUGGAUAACCUACCUAUAAGACUGGGAUAACUUCGGGAAACCGGAGCUAAUACCGGAUAAUAUAUUGAACCGCAUGGUUCAAUAGUGAAAGACGGUUUUGCUGUCACUUAUAGAUGGAUCCGCGCCGCAUUAGCUAGUUGGUAAGGUAACGGCUUACCAAGGCGACGAUGCGUAGCCGACCUGAGAGGGUGAUCGGCCACACUGGAACUGAGACACGGUCCAGACUCCUACGGGAGGCAGCAGUAGGGAAUCUUCCGCAAUGGGCGAAAGCCUGACGGAGCAACGCCGCGUGAGUGAUGAAGGUCUUCGGAUCGUAAAACUCUGUUAUUAGGGAAGAACAAAUGUGUAAGUAACUAUGCACGUCUUGACGGUACCUAAUCAGAAAGCCACGGCUAACUA
rnacentral:rRNA from 1 species